UCUUGGGAUGUUAGCACAGCAUGGGGCCCCCAGAGGCUACCGCCUUCAGGCCUGGCGAACUCAGGGGGCUGUCACGGCUGGGCAAAGGACGUUCCACAGAAUGAAGACAAGCGGAUCAACACAAAGAAGGGAAUAAAAAUGAACUCCACGCCCACCUGCUAUCCGGAAAUGAAUCAGAGUACCCCUUACUGCUGGACAUUUAAGAAGUUCCCAACUUUUUGCAGUGGUGAAAACACAACUGUUUGCUCCGCUCACCAAAGGAAGAAUAAACGGAGAUGGGGCAGGCGUGUUCCAGGCUGCAGCGACCGCAUGAAGCAGCUGGGCAUGGCGGGGAACAUUCCAGGGCUGAGGAGGAAGGAGAGGGGAGGACACGAUCCUGAAACUACUAUGACACACCAUCCCAGCUGCACUAUUUAGUAGCUGUGUGACCCUGCACAGGUUACUUAACCUCUCUGUGCCUUAGUUUCCUCAUCCCUAA